AGAAUCAACGCUGGCGGCGUGCCUAACACAUGCAAGUCGAACGAGAAAGUGGAGCAAUCCAUGAGUAAAGUGGCGACCGGGUUAGUAACACGUGACUAACCUACCCUAGAGUGGGGAAUAACUUCGGGAAACCGAGGCUAAUACCGCAUAACAUCGCAGAGGGAAGCUCUUUGCGAUCAAAGGAGCAAUUCGCUCAAGGAGGGGGUCGCGGCUGAUUAGUUAGUUGGUGAGGUAACGGCUCACCAAGACAAAGAUCAGUAUCCGGCCUGAGAGGGGCGCGACGGACGACGACUGGAACUGAAACACGGUCCAGACUCCUACGGGAGGCAGCAGUGGGGAAUUUUGCGCAAUGGGGGAAACCCUGACGCAGCAACGCCGCGUGGAGGAUGAAGUCCCUUGGGAUGUAAACUCCUUUCGAUCGGGACGAUUAUGACGGUACCGGAAGAAGAAGCACCGGCUAACUCUGUGCCAGCAGCCGC
rnacentral:rRNA from 1 species